GAGCUUGCGGCAGAUUAGCUAGUUGGUAAGGUAAUGGCUUACCAAGGCUACGAUCUGUAACCGGUCUAAGAGGACGGUCGGUCACACUGACACUGAACAACGGGUCAGACUCCUACGGGAGGCAGCAGUCGGGAAUUUUGGGCAAUGGGCGAAAGCCUGACCCAGCAACGCCGCGUGAAGGAUGAAGUAUUUCGGUAUGU
rnacentral:rRNA from 1 species